AUUGAACGCUGGCGGCAGGCCUAACACAUGCAAGUCGAACGGUAACAGGAAGAAGCUUGCUUCUUUGCUGACGAGUGGCGGACGGGUGAUUAAUGUCUGGGAAACUGCCUGAUGGAGGGGGAUAACUACUGGAAACGGUAGCUAAUACCGCAUAACGUCGCAAGACCAAAGAGGGGGACCUUCGGGCCUCUUGCCAUCGGAUGUGCCCAGAUGGGAUUAGCUAGUAGGUGGGGUAACGGCUCACCUAGGCGACGAUCCCUAGCUGGUCUGAGAGGAUGACCAGCCACACUGGAACUGAGACACGGUCCAGACUCCUACGGGAGGCAGCAGUGGGGAAUAUUGCACAAUGGGCGCAAGCCUGAUGCAGCCAUGCCGCGUGUAUGAAGAAGGCCUUCGGGUUGUAAAGUACUUUCAGCGGGGAGGAAGGGAGUAAAGUUAAUACCUUUGCUCAUUGACGUUACCCGCAGAAGAAGCACCGGCUAACUCCGUG
rnacentral:rRNA from 1 species